rnacentral:snoRNA from 1 species
AGGACCCUAUUUCCUGGGGAGUGAGCUCAGCCUACCUCCACCCCCCCUCAAUGGGUCCCAGAGUAGAGAGCCGGGAUGGGUCUCACUGUCAUCCCAUGAGCAGAGAGGAGACACACCUGCUCUGGCUAGUACUGGCGACAUAUCCCAUACUCAUAUUG